UUGAUAGUGAUGUCAUGGGUGAAGGAAGUGGUGUAGCGAUUCUUUUGAGCGUACGAACAGAAACUUGAUGAGGCUAAAUGGUGGAUAAGGUUGCAAUACAAACCGAAGUUCAAAAGGUAAACGUAAAACCAAGACAGUAAAUCAAGACGUUGUGAAAGAAAUAGGGUUCAUGUC
rnacentral:ncRNA from 1 species